rnacentral:rRNA from 1 species
AACGAACGCUGGCGGCAGGCUUAACACAUGCAAGUCGAGCGCCCCGCAAGGGGAGCGGCAGACGGGUGAGUAACGCGUGGGCAUCUACCCAUCUCUACGGAAUAACGCAUGGAAACGUGUGCUAAUACCGUAUACGUCCUUCGGGAGAAAGAUUUAUCGGAGAUGGAUGAGCCCGCGUCGGAUUAGCUAGUUGGUGGGGUAAAGGCCUACCAAGGCGACGAUCCAUAGCUGGUCUGAGAGGAUGAUCAGCCACACUGGGACUGAGACACGGCCCAGACUCCUACGGGAGGCAGCAGUGGGGAAUAUUGGACAAUGGGCGCAAGCCUGAUCCAGCCAUGCCGCGUGAGUGAUGGAGGCCCUAGGGUUGUAAAGCUCUUUCACCGGUGAAGAUAAUGACGGUAACCGGAGAAGAAGCCCCGGCUAACUUCGUGCCAGCCGCCGCCGUAAAAC